rnacentral:rRNA from 1 species
GUGAGGAAUUUUCCGCAAUGGGCGAAAGCCUGACGGAGCAAUGCCGCGUGAAGGAUGAAGGCCUAUGGGUUGUAAACUUCUUUUCUCAGAAAAGAAUUAUGACGGUAUCUGAGGAAUAAGCAUCGGCUAACUCUGUGCCAGCAGCCGCGGUAAGACAGGGGAUGCAAGCGUUAUCCGGAAUGAUUGGGCGUAAAGCGUCUGUAGGUUGUUUAAAAAGUAUUCUGUCAAAGAUUAGGGCUUAACCCUAGAUAGGCAGAAUAAACUUUUAAGCUAGAGUUUGGUAGAGGCAGAGGGAAUUCCCGGUGGAGCGGUGAAAUGCGUAGAUAUCGGGAGGAACACCAAAGGCGAAGGCACUCUGCUGGGCCAAUACUAACACUGAGAGACGAAAGCGAGGGGAGCAAAUGGGAUUAGAUACCCCGGUAGUCC